AGUAAAGAAAGCAGCUUGCCAACUUGUUCAUCCAAUUGCUCUAAAUAAUCUCUUUCCAGGAAUCAAGUGAUUCAAGAGGCAGGGACUGUUGCUUCUUCAUUUCACUGUCUAAAGGAACCAUAUGUUACCAUUCUUAUUCAGAGGGGAACACUCCUGAGGAUCUUGAUUAAAGGCAACUCAUGCCACCAACGGUAUUUCUAUGAUCUACCUACUAUGGAGCUGAAAAGUAAAGAUGGAAAUAAGCCUAUCUACAAACAGGAUGCUCUCUAUCAAGAGUCAUGAGAAUUGUCUUCAGAGGGUGCUGAAGAGACAUCAACCUGUCUUCUUUGAGACUCCUAGUGUUGGUGUGGAAGAUGCUACUGGAGACAACAGGUUCCUCCAGGCCUGAUUGCUUGGUCAAUUGUGAAUCACCUUUGAUGAAACAUACUCCGGCAUAAGAUGAGCCAGCGUGUGGCACCUGGCAUUUCAUUAAACAAUUGCACUGACUUAGAGGAUGCCCAGGAACCCAGACCACUACAUACACCAAAUCUCUUUUCUGAAAAUCCAUGGAGAAAUUUUUCCAGCUGCUAGGCAUUCCAGGAGAAGCUGCUGACCAGCAGGGCUCUCGGACAUAUGAAUAAGAAUACCCACUUGGAAAAGAGAAGAAGUACAUACCCCUUCAUCUUAGGUCAUGUCUUUUUCUGAGGUCCUAUUUCAGUAGUACAGACGCCUCUGAGCUGAAGAGAGGUAAAGAAAAGAACAUGCUGUCUCGCACACAAAAUCUUUGACUGACCACCAGCCACCUCCCAGUAUCUGGAGAAAUUCUGGCCUCACGAACUGUCCGCAAAGCUUUGAGUGAUAAAGUCCUGCAGAAACUUUAAGAGCAACUAACUCUCCCAGGGCAUGCCAACGAUACUUGAUUUAAAGCAUAACAG
rnacentral:lncRNA from 1 species